GAUGAACGCUAGCUACAGGCUUAACACAUGCAAGUCGAGGGGCAGCAUGGUCUUAGCUUGCUAAGGCCGAUGGCGACCGGCGCACGGGUGAGUAACACGUAUCCAACCUACCGUCUACUCUUGGACAGCCUUCUGAAAGGAAGAUUAAUACAAGAUGGCAUCAUGAGUCCGCAUGUUCACAUGAUUAAAGGUAUUCCGGUAGACGAUGGGGAUGCGUUCCAUUAGAUAGUAGGCGGGGUAACGGCCCACCUAGUCUUCGAUGGAUAGGGGUUCUGAGAGGAAGGUCCCCCACAUUGGAACUGAGACACGGGCCAAACUCCUACGGGAGGCAGCAGUGAGGAAUAUUGGUCAAUGGGCGUAGGCCUGAACCAGCCAAGUAGCGUGAAGGAUGACUGCCCUAUGGGUUGUAAACUUCUUUUAUAAAGGAAUAAAGUCGGGUAUGUAUACCCGUUUGCAUGUACUUUAUGAAUAAGGAUCGGCUAACUCCGUG
rnacentral:rRNA from 1 species